rnacentral:rRNA from 1 species
CCUACGGGAGACAGCAGUGAGGAAUAUUGGUCAAUGGACGAGAGUCUGAACCAGCCAAGUAGCGUGAAGGAUGACUGCCCUAUGGGUUGUAAACUUCUUUUAUAUGGGAAUAAAAUGUUCCACGUGUGGGAUUUUGUAUGUACCAUAUGAAUAAGGAUCGGCUAACUCAGUGCCAGCAGCCGCGGUAAUACGGAGGAUCCGAGCGUUACCCGGAUUUAUUGGGUUUAACGGGAGCGUAGGUGGAUUGUUAAGUCAGUUGUGAAAGUUUGGGGCUCAACCGUAAAAUUGCAGUUGAAACUGGCAGUCUUGAGUACAGUAGAGGUGGGCGGAAUUCGUGGUGUAGCGGUGAAAUGCUUAGAUAUCACGAAGAACUCCGAUUGCGAAGGCAGUUCACUGGACUGCAACUGACACUGAGGCGCGAAAGUGUGGGUAUCAAACAGGAUUAGAUACCCCAGUAGUC